rnacentral:tRNA from 1 species
GGGGCGGUAGUCUAGCCCGGCUAUGAUGUCUCGCUUACACCGAGAAGGUCGCUGGUUCAAAUCCGGCCCGCCCCACCA